rnacentral:lncRNA from 1 species
UGGUGGACAAAACCACAAAAGAAAAGAAGAAAGAAAAGAAGAAAAGCUGCUGUGUUUCUUGCAGAAUUUCCGAAGGUGGAGAGAGAUGAUUUUUUUGCUGGUUUGGGGCUGCCUCCUUUUAUAGGUGAAGAAUCAUAAUCCACUUAGGAUUUGGAAUCCUAGUAUGGAUUGGUCUUUUUGUAGUCUUUAAUCUCCUCUUUGCUUUUAUAUUUACUUGUGAAUAAAUCUUCUUCUUAAGGGAGUCUAUCUUUGGGAGUGACUCUUGGAGAUGUCCUAGGAUUGAUCUUGAAGUGUUUGAAGUAGGAUAUGACUUCAAUGCUUUUGGAUUUUGAAUUCUUCCUUUUUCCCGCUCUACUGUCCGCCUCUGCUGUCAUUUUGAUUUGGGCAGUGAUUUGCCCAAAUUGCUUGCCCCAAUCGCUUCCUGUGAGUCUGUCCUAGCCUUUUGCUUCAGCUUGAUUUGGGCAGUGAUUUGGCCAAAUCACUUUGACCCAAUCACUUUUUCAGCUUUUUCUGCACUUUUUCUCCAACUUUCUAUUUUCUUCCUUUUCUGCAAAAACAUGAUAAAAACCAUAAAUUAAGCUGAAAAAUGUGUAAUUAAACAGUAAUAAAGGUAAUAAAAAUAUGGCUAAAUUAUGUUUGAUCAAAUACCCCCACACCUAGCUUUUUGCUUGUCCUCAAGCAAUAAAUAACUUAGUCAAUCAAGCUCCUUUUUCUUUUGAGCCUAAGUACCACUUAAUCAGCCCCCCUUAGACUCCUAAGUUGAAACACCACAGUGUAGUAUACAUGUACUAAGGUUGUCCUCUCUUUCCUUUUUUCCCAUCACCUACCAUGGCCAAGGGAAAGUUUUUUGACUUGAUCAUGCUUAUUCUUUUAUAUUAGGCUUAAUGCAACCCCUAAGAGUGACUUGCCACCUUUUAAGCAUUUUUAUUCAGCAGCACUUUUUUAUCCUUGCCUGAAAAAGUCACCAACCUUUUUACGCGAAGGUGCAUAUUGGUGAUACCCACCUCCGGUUACUCAGUUGGUCACUUGUUCAAGUGGCUACUAGCUCUGUUCAUAGUCUUUGACCAUCGAAACAUGUUAUGUUUUGUGCUUUUUGAUUUUGCCGAGUUAUUAUAUUUUUUUUUCUUUUCUUUUUCUUUUUUUCAUAACAGUUUGGGCAAAUCAGCUCAUAGAGAGUUACACUAACUUUUUAUUGCAUGUAUAUAUAUUUUUCCCUUGACCAUAGCAAGUGCAAAGAUCCAAUUUAAGAGAAAAACUCCAUAAGUGAAGGUAACACACUGUAAAUGAUUCAAUUUAGGCUUAAAGGGUUGGAAAAUUUAAUAGGGUCAUGAGAUAGGAGGCUCUUUUAACUUUGUCAUCUAUUCUGAGUAGAGCAAAGGCUAAAACAAAAUCUCUGUGUGUGUGCAUAUAUGCAGAAGUGAAUAUGAGUGCAAAAAGAAAUGUGUGUGAGAGAGAAAAAAAAUUUUAGUGUGUGUAAAAGGGUAGAAAAUGCAAAAAGAAGAAAAAAGAAAGCAAAAGAUGGUGCAAACAGUGUAAAAAUAUUCCCCAGUACCCCCACACCUAGUCUAAACAUUGUCCUCAAUGUAAAACAUAUAGAGAAAAAUUAAGAGAGAAAGGGACUUCCUGGCCUGGGGGUGAUUUGGUGAGUGAUUUGGGCAAAUCACUCGGCCAAAUCACUGGCUGUCAUGGUCUGUGGGCAGAAAGUUGUCCACCAGCAGUUGCAGUAGGUGCUCCAUGUGUAUGAUUCGGGCCUCCAUUUUGUCAAGGCGAGAUUCUGCAGAUUGAUCAACUGUUAGAGGUUCUGCUGAUUUGGACAGUGAUUUGGGCAAAUCACUUGGCCAAAUUACCUCUGCUGUAGUUAAGUUCUGCUGAUUUUUCCAUCAAUUUGCACAAAUCGCCUAUGCUGGGUUGUCUCCCAGUAGCGCCCUAGUUUAAAGUCGCGGGUUGGACUUUUCUGACUUGAUCAAGGCUCAAGUAAUAGGGGGAGGGAAAAGGAUUCCAACAGAAUUAAGUAAGAAGUGCAGCACACCUUUCAUUUUGGUUAUAACCCAUCCCAUUUCUUUCAUGUACUCAUGAAGUAACAUGAUUAAUUUCUCCUCUUUCAAGUGAGGUGUGCCUCUAGCCCCUAUGUUUGAAAUUUUGAGGUGAUUGGGCAGCACUUUGAACUCCAAUUCAUAUUUCUCCACAAAAGGUGGCUGCAAUCUGGUACUGAACUUGGGCAAAUCGAAUUCUGCUUGCACUGAUGAUUUGGGCAAAUCAAAAUCUGUCUGCAUUGUUGAUUUGAUUUCUGCCUGUUCAAGUGAUUUGGGCAAAUCAGAUUCUAUCUGUACAAGUGAUUUGAGCAAAUCACCUCUGGACCAGUUUGUGCAGCAUGCUGUCUCUUCCGUUUCUUUCAAAUUUUUCCUGUUCUCCUCAUCUUCCUGGCUGGUGUCCCUUGGUAUUUGUUUGACAGCAUCAAGCAAAGGUAUGUUGAUCUCCACUUUGCGAAAGGUUGCAAGUAUUUCUUUCUCUUCUUUUUCUUUUUGUGAUCUUGCAAAUCUCUUGGGAAAGGGAGGAGGUACCUUAAAUUUUUCUUCUAGUUGCUGAUCUGCCUUGGUCUGUUUGGAGCUGAAUUCUGCCUGGGUCAUUGAUUUGGGCAAAUCAUUUUCUGUCUUCUCUGAGGAUUUGGGCAAAUCGCCACUGUUGGGCAGUACUGUCUGUCCAUCGAUUGGGUCUGUGAUUUGGGCAGAUCGACUGCCCUGAUCACUUUCUAGCAAAUUCUCUUCAGUGACCUGUUUUUGCAUUUUCUCAAGCCUACUGUCUUGAAGCACUUUUCCACUCCUCCAUGUGAUGGCACUAGUAUUCUGCCUUGGAUUUAUCUCAAUUUGGGAGGGUAGCUUUCCUUGUGAUUUAAGUUUACUCAUUGAAGUGGCCAUUUGACUCAUUUGUUGCUCAAGAUUUUGCAUCGAGUUUGCUAAGGAUUUCACGAUCUCUUUAAGGGGUGUAUUGGACUUUUGAGGUGCUGCUUGGGCUGGAUUCCUUUCCUGAUAGCUCGGAUAUUGAUUGGCCCUUGCAUAACUGAAAUCCAAAUUUGGAUGGUCCCUCCAACCUGGGUUAUAGGUGUUAGAAUAGGGAUCAUACUGUAACGACCCGAAAAUCGGAUUGCUACCGGCGCUAGGAUCCAGAUCGGCUUAAGGCCGCCGGGACCCGUAGCAAGCCUGACAUACAUCCUGUAAACCUGUUUAAUCCCAUACAUGAUCAACACAUACAUAAAAAUUUGAACUUUUCUCAUUCAUUUACCAAACUCAACCUGUGCAUGCACAACUAAAGAUCAUAAUCAACAACCCCACAUUGGAGUCCUCAUCAAUGCUCCAAUGGGGUAACAUAACAUUAUAAAGUUUGGUUUAAACUUGAACAUCAUAAAACAUUUCAUUAAAAGAUCAUGUAAUCAAAAAGGGAUUAACAACAUACUAGGGUCAAGCACAACUCUAAUACUCAAUAACAUCAUUACAUUACAUAACUGAUUAAUACUAUUCAUUACAUCUCAAUACUUAUCAUGUCCACCACUAGCUAUUACAUGACCAUGACUUUACUCUAGCUGACCUCUUGGUCUAUCCCGUACCUGCAAACCUGGGGGAUUAAGGGAGUGGGGUGAGCUACUAGAGCCCAGUGAGCAGAAUAAUAAAACAUUAUAUUUAAAGUCAUGCUUUCAUGAAAUGCAUCACAUCACAAACAAAUCACCUUAAGGAUGAACUUGUCACCAAUAGCCCUCUACAUAAUCCAAUAGUGCCAGAACGUAGAAUGGGUCCUGGUCUUUCUCUCACAUACCAUGUCAUAACAUUCCAACAUGCCAGGGACGUAGAAUGGGUCUUCCUGGACUUUCUCUUACAUAGUGCCAGGGAUGUAGAAUGGGUCUUCUUGAACUUUCAUACCGUAUCAUCAUCAUAUCAUUUUAUACGAGGGCUAAGGGAUCAUUCAACAUUCAUCCACAUCAACAAAAUAAUGUGCAAUGCAACAUAUUCGUGAAUUCUAAUGCAAACAACCUAAUAUAUCUCAUGGCAUUCAUGAUGCGUGAAUCAUGCUAAAACUGAUUUAUUUACUUUAAAGCAUAAAGAGUUAUUCCACUCACCUCAGGCUAGCUCAGACAAGACUCUGAAGCAGCUAUCUCAAUGCUGGGGUCCUCGGUUCCUCGGGUCCGAACCUACACAGGUGGACUCAAAUGAGGGACGAAACAAACAUGAACAUGACUCUAAAAUACUCCCCAAAAACCCCCUAAAACACCUUAAAACAAUCAUAGAAAUCAUGCAAAGGAGGGCUGAACAGGGCACUUUCGGCGGCAGGUUCGGCGGCCGAAAGUCCCUCCAGAGCCGAAAGUCAUGCACCUUCGGCGGCACUUUCGGCGGCCGAAGGUUCCCUCCAGAGACGAAACUCAUGCAUGUUCGGCGGUACCUUCGGUGGCCGAAACUCCCUUCCAGAGCCGAAAGUCCACUUUCGGGGGCAGGGUUCGGCAGCCAAAGGCUGGCCUCCACAGGCAGGUUCGGCGGCCGAAAGUCCCUUCGGCUGUCGAACCUGAGUUCUUCCAAAGGGCAGAACUCAGCCUCCAACAUGCACAAAAGCCUCCCAAUCCACUUCAACUCAAACACAACACUUCUACAACAUGCAUACACACAUACAUAAGCUCCUAGGGGCUUCAAACUAUCCUAAACCCUAACUAGAACACAUCAAACAUGCACAACAACCCACAUUGCUCCAAAAACUCAACAUAAACCCAUAAACUCACUAAAAACCUAAACAUGCAUUUCUACCCCAAAAAACUUCAUAAAACUUGUUAAAAACAUAAAAUGGGCUAAGGAUCUACUCUUACCUCUUGAAGAACAAGAGGAAGGACGAUCCAACUCGGAGAUGGGAGCGAUCUAGCUCUUUGAACCUCCAAAAUCCAAAACUUGCUCUAAGCUUCAAAUCUCUUCAAAACCAAGUUAGAACUCAUUAAAACUUGAAAGAUUUGAGAGAAAUCAACAAAAACGACCAUGGGGGAGCAUGGACUCACCGUUGGCCGAAGAGGGAGAGAAAACUCGUCCGUUUCGGCCAUGGAGCCCUUAAAUAGGAGCUGGCCAGACCACCCUUCGGCAGCCUAAAGUGCCUCCAAAACUCAUGCAAGUUCGGCGGCCGAACCUUUGCUACUUUCGGAAGCCUAACUUGCCCCCCUAAACUAUCCAAUGUUCGACGGCCGAACCUGGGAAUGCCUCCAUAGUCUUUUUCAUUCAAAACUCAAUUUCUUUCUUGCUUAAAACCAUAAAAUACAUUAAAACAUUUUAUAAAAACAUGAUUUUACCCCUCUAGAGGUUUUUGACAUUCGAGAUUCUACCGGACGGUAGGAAUUUCGAUACUGGAGUCUAGCCGGGUAUUACACAUACCUUCUUUGCCCAUUAAAUCCUCCAACUGCAUUGACUUGCUGGUCCUCUUCUUGAAAGGAAGGACAUAGGUCAGUAGGGUGGCUCAAGUUUGUGCAUAUUCCAUAUGGUUUGGGCUGCUGAACCUGCUGGACUUGUUGGGCUUGAUCCACAACAAGGCUACGAACAGCAUUGGUGAGAUCAGAAAUUUGGGAUGCUAAAGUGGAUGUACUCACCUCAUUCACCCUUCUUGGUGGCUGUUCUUGAUCUCCAAAUUGCUGUGAGGCUGCUGCCAUGGUGGAAAUUAAAUCUCUUAUGGCUUGAGGUGACUUGUCUUCAAUUGAUCCUCUACAUGCUGCGUCUAUGAACUUUCUUUCCGAAGGUAGCAAACCUCCAUAGAAGUAUUCAAUGAGUGACUUAUCAGAGAUGUCAUGUUGAGGGCAGCUUGUGCACAAUCGAUUGAAUCUUUCCCAAUAUUCAUAUAGCUCUUCAUAAUCCUUUUGCUUGAUGCAACUGAUCUCUCUUCUGAUACCAAUAGCUUUUGAGGUUGGAAAGUAUUUGCUCAAGAAGACUCUCACCAUCCCAUCCCAUGAAGUGAUGGAUCCAGGUGGUAAAUAGAACAACCAUUCUUUGGCAAAAUCAUCAAGAGAAAAGGGAAAAGCUCUUAAUUUAACAUGCUCUUCGGAAAUACCUUGAGGCCUCAUUGUUGAACACACAAUGUGAAAUUCUUUAAGGUGCUUGUAUGGAUCUUCAUUUUUCAGACCUCUGAAUUUUGCAAGGAGAUGAAUUAAUCUGGUUUUGAGCUCAAAAGGGGCUGCCAAAGGUGAGUAAGUGAUGCACCAUAGUGCUUGAUCAUCCAAGGGUGUUGCUAGUUCGCAAAGAGUUUUAUCUUGUGCCAUUGGAGCUCUUGCCUCAACAUUUUUAGCUUCAAAUUCAGCAAGGACAGCAGCUGGUUCAAGAGUAGUAGCUGCUGCAUUUUCUGCCUCUUCAGGUGCUGUUGUGGCUGUCUUUAUAGCAGCUCGUUCAGCUACUAUUUUAAGGGCUAGUUCUGGGAUUUUUUUAGCAAAAAUUUCUGGUUUUUGGGCUGGUUCUGGUGUAGUUUUAAGGGCUGGUUUUGAGUGCAGCAGCUUGUGCAGCAACAGAUUCAACAAGUGCAGCAUGUACAAUAAUUUCAGCAACUGGUUCAACAACUUAUUCAGCAGGUACAAUAGCGAUUUGUGUAGCAGAUACAACAAUGAUUUGUGCAGCAAAUAUAGCAGCAGGUGUAGUAGAUUGUAUGGCAGAUACCAGAUUUGUUGCUGUUGCUGAUGAAGAUGGUUUGGAGGCUUGGUUCCUCAAGUUUGCUUGCUUCUUUAAGGUCUUGGCAGUGCGUUCAAUUUCUGGAUCGUAAAGAAGAGCUUCUUUACGAUCAGCCCUGGUCAUAAAAGGAAAAUACGUUAGUUAGAUCAAAUCCCUGGCAACGGCGCCAAUUUUUGAUAGCGAUUGUCGAAACCGUAAAAAAUAAACCUAUUAUUAACCAACAAAAUAAUUUGCAGAUAGUGGCAAUAGGGUCAAACCACAGGGAUUUGACACUACAGAUUUUCCUAAUAAUGACUUGGACAAGUAAAUAACAAAUAAAUAAGAAGAGGGGGGGGGUUGAUUUGAUGAAUUGAAACUAAAUAGCAAGAGAAAGCAAAAAAGAUGAGAAUUAUAAUGGGAGAAGGAUUCUAGUUGAAGCAUGGAUCUAUUUCAGUUUGUUUAGAAUUGAUCAUUGACUCUUUUUGAUACUCCUAUUUAUUUCAAUAAAUUAGUUUAGAAUGUAAAAAACACUUCUCACAAUCUAAAUUCCUCCUUAGUUCUAGUUUGACUAGGAACCGUUCACUAAUCAAACACUAGUUAACAAGAUGCCAACGAACGUCCUUGGGGCUUUUAGCAUCGAACAACUGUUAACUGCAUUAAGACUUAGAGAAACCUAAUUCUAACCUUGCCAACCGCGUGGUCAAGUUUAGAUUAUGCAACUGAUUGUACUUGUGUUUAGACAAUCUAUGCAAUUACGGACCUAAAUCAUUCAAACAAUUUAUUACUUAUGCAAUUAAAAGCAACAUGCCUUAAUUGAUUCUAAAAGCAAAGCAAUAAUAAUGGAAAGAUCAAGUUGCAUAAAUAUUGAAAGUAAAUAAGAGUUUAACAAUGGAGAUUUAAAUCUCCCAGUUCAUCACAAACUGAAUUUUUCCAACUUCAACUAGAAAAGAAAAGUGUUUAGCCACUCAUGGUGGAGAAAACCACAAAAGAAAAGAAGAAAGAAAAGAAGAAAAGCUGUUGUGUUUCUUGCAGAAUUUCCGAAGGUGGAGAGAGAUGAUUUUUUGCUGGUUUGGGGCUGCCUCCUUUUGUAGGUGAAGAAUCCUAAUCCACUUAGGAUUUGGAAUCCUAGUAUGGAUUGGUCUUUUUGUAGUCUUUAAUCUCCUCUUUGCUUUUGUAUUUACUUGUGAAUAAAUCUUCUUCUUGAGGGAGUCUAUCUUUGGGAGUGACUCUUGGAGAUGUCCUAGGAUUGAUCUUGAAGUGUUUGAAGUAGGAUAGGACUUUAAUGCUUUUGGAUUUUGAAUUCUUCCUUUUUCCCGCUCUGCUGUCCGCCUCUGCUGUCAUUUUGAUUUGGGCAGUGAUUUGCCCAAAUCGCUUGCCCC